rnacentral:rRNA from 1 species
UACGUAGGGUGCGAGCGUUGUCCGGAAUUAUUGGGCGUAAAGAGCUCGUAGGCGGUUUGUCGCGUCGGCCGUGAAAACUUGGGGCUUAACCCCAAGCUUGCGGUCGAUACGGGCAGACUUGAGUUCGGCAGGGGAGACUGGAAUUCCUGGUGUAGCGGUGAAAUGCGCAGAUAUCAGGAGGAACACCGGUGGCGAAGGCGGGUCUCUGGGCCGACACUGACGCUGAGGAGCGAAAGCGUGGGGAGCGAACAGGAUUAGAAACCCCCGUAGU